UACAGAGGGUGCAAGCGUUAAUCGGAAUUACUGGGCGUAAAGCGUGCGCAGGCGGUUAUGCAAGACAGAUGUGAAAUCCCCGGGCUCAACCUGGGAACUGCAUUUGUGACUGCAUAGCUGGAGUGCGGCAGAGGGGGAUGGAAUUCCGCGUGUAGCAGUGAAAUGCGUAGAUAUGCGGAGGAACACCGAUGGCGAAGGCAAUCCCCUGGGCCUGCACUGACGCUCAUGCACGAAAGCGUGGGGAGCAAACAGG
rnacentral:rRNA from 1 species